GACAGACAUUAAUAGAAAUAUAUCUAUUUAUUUAUGUGCCAAGAACUGUACUGAGCAUUUGGGAGAGUACAAUAGAACAGAAUUAGCAGAUACUUUCCCUGCCCACAGCGAGCUUACAGUCUAGGGUCAAUAAGGUAAGCUCAUUGUCCGGGUUUCCGGGAUUAGAACCCAGGUCCUCUGACUCUCGGGCCCAUGCUCUUUCCCCGAGGCCACACCGCUUCCUAACGGGCACGCUUCAACCUUCAGAACGCCGACUUCCCGGGCCCGUGAGAGAUCGGAAUUCGGCCCUCUGACCCUGUUCUCUGCCGACCCCUGGCCCACGUCCCGCCUCUGGCCUGGAACGCGCUCCCUCUUCACAUCCGACAGACAGUGACUCUCCCCCGUUUCAAAGCUUUAUCGAAGGCCCAUCUCCUCCAAGAGGCCUUCCCUGACUAAGCCUCCUUUCCUCUUCUCCCACCCCCUUCGGUGUCCCCCUGACUCCUUUUAUUCAUCCCCUCUCCCAGCCCCAUAGCACUUAUGUCCGUAUCUGUCAUUUAUCUCUAUUUCUGUCUGUCUCCCCCUCUAGACUCUAAGCUUAUUGUGGGCAGGAAAAUUGUUUAGUAUUCUAUUGUACUCUCCCAAGUGCUUAGUACAGUGCUCUGGGAAGUGCUCAGUAGAUACAACCGACUGACCGAUUGAAAGGUUGAGUUGAGAAAACCAAUGAUCCAGGCAGGUGAAUGAUGCUUCCAGCUUCAGAUCUAGGCAGACGGCGAUAAUGGAACCGCCAGACGAUGCCAUCCUGUGCCAAGAUCCCGUUGCCAAAGAACCGGUCGAAGACACAGACCCAAGCACUUUAUCUUUUCAAAUGGUACGUCCUCAUUUUCGAUGGGACAGAAACUUAUCACCGACUCUGAUUUUCAUCUAGGUAAAGUGGAUCAGAAAACCCGUAGAUGAUACGUUUGUGAUAGAGGUGGCUUCUUAGUACGCUAUAUUCCAUGACACACCACCAAUGUGCCUCUGUGUUUAUUUUAGAUAAGAACCUAACAUUCAUUCUUCUUGCUCAUCCUUUGUGUACAGUGGAAGUCAUUGUUUUUAGAGGUUGUGGUGGAAGAAUUUUUUUUAUUAUGGUCUGUGGGCUACACUGAGUCAAUAGCCUAUGGAGAGAUAACCUCAUUAUACCUGAGAAAAAUGAUAACCAAAGAAAAUAACCAAACCCUUAACUUUGAGAGUACAUAAUAGUCAGUUAUCGCAGUCGGGUUCUUGAAGAAACCCUGGUUAAGGGGAAAUGAGGCACGGCUUGAUCGACCCCAAAAGGUUGUGGGCAGGGGAGGUGGCUGCCGAUUCUCUAAAACUGUACUCUCCCAAGUGCUUAGUAAAGUGCCCUGCACACAAUAAGCACCCAGUAAAUAUGAUCGAUUGAUCCUUCCUUCAUUCGACUGUGUUCUAAUCAGACAGAUGGGUCCUGUGGGAAAAGCUCGUCCCAGAUCUUCAAAGCAGAUCACCCUCUGGAAAGCCACUUUUUUGUUUGUUUUGCAUGAUAUUUGUUCAGCACUUACUAUGUGCCCGGUCCCGUACUGAGCUCUGGGGUAGAUAAAAGAAAGCCAGAUCGGACCCAGUCCCCAUCCCACAUGGGGCUCACAGUCUUAAUCGUCAUUUUACAGAUGAGGUCACCGAAGCCCAGAGAAGUUAAGUGACAAGCCCAAGGUCACACAGCAGACAAGUGGCAGAGCUGGGAUCAGAACCCAGGCCAGGGCUCUUUCCACUAGGCCACGCUGCUUCUCACGUGAGGGCAGAAUUAUCGCCAAGGAUCAAAAAGGGCAAAAAAGAGACUAAAAUUUCCCCUCUGGGUGGGAUAGGUCCAUUGGAUAGGUGAUCAAAAGCAAGAUAAAAUAUAGAAGUAGUGAGCUACAGUCAACAGCUGACUGAAGUCAAACUGACAAGUGUUUUGAGGAACGGGUUUCUUUUAAUCAGCCUUUUAUAAUAUCUCUUUUAUUAUUUAUAAUCAUUUGUCACUGGAGGCAUUUGCUCGUUCUUGUUUUGUUUAGGGAUUUUAGAUUGUGAGCCCGUUUGGGACACAGACAGGGGCUGAUUUGUGUCUAAUUCCCACCUGAGUAUUUUCUCUCAGCGCUUAGUUCAGUGCCCUGCCCAGAGUGACUGCUUAAUGAAUAUGAUUACUACUAAUACUAGGGGUUUUAUUGUCACACUAAAUUCAAUUUUUUUCCCCUACGUGUCUCGUUUCCUUCCCUCUCUUUCCUUUCUGAGUCAGAGGUAACCUUAAAAAAGGAGGGAUAAGCGAGCCUACCACUUGAUAUUAAUAGCAGAGAGGCUUAUCAGUAAAAUUGUGUGUGAGAACAAGCGUCCGUCUGUGAGGUGUGAACUGGCAAAGGACAGGAAAUAAAAAGGGGAGAAGAGCUCAGAGGCAGGAGGUGGGGUUCAGUGGUCAGGAAGGGCCACGGGGGCGUUUAUUUCUCCCUCUGACGCUGGUCCUUCGCUGUUUUGGACCAGGUCCCCGAAGCUGAGCGUGCCAGAGUUUUGCGAUCUGUAAAAUGGG
rnacentral:lncRNA from 1 species